AGUUGAUUCCCUAUUGAGUUCAAUACAUUUAGUUGAUUCCCUACUGAGUUCAAUACAUUUAUUCGAUUCCCUACUGAGUUCAAUACAUUUAGUUGACUCCCUAUUGAGUUCAAUACAUUUAGUUGACUCCCUAUUGAGUUCAAUACAUUUAGUUGACUCCCUAUUGAGUUCAAUACAUUUAGUUCGAUUCCCUAUUGAGUUCAAUACAUUUAGUUGACUCCCUAUUGAGUUCAAUACAUUUAGUUGAUUCCCUAUUGAGUUCAAUACAUUUAGUUGAUUCCCUACUGAGUUCAAUACAUUUAGUUGAUUCCCUACUGAGUUCAAUACAUUUAGUUGAUUCCCUACUGAGUUCAAUACAUUUAGUUGACUCCCUAUUGAGUUCAAUACAUUUAGUUCGAUUCCCUAUUGAGUUCAAUACAUUUAGUUCGAUUCCCUAUUGAGUUCAAUACAUUUAGUUCGAUUCCCUACUGAGUUCAAUACAUUUAGUUGAUUCCCUAUUGAGUUCAAUACAUUUAGUUCGAUUCCCUACUGAGUUCAAUACAUUUAGUUGAUUCCCUACUGAGUUCAAUACAUUUAGUUGAUUCCCUACUGAGUUCAAUACAUUUAGUUGAUUCCCUACUGAGUUCAAUACAUUUAGUUGAUUCCCUAUUGAGUUCAAUACAUUUAGUUGAUUCCCUACUGAGUUCAAUACAUUUAGUUGAUUCCCUAUUGAGUUCAAUACAUUUAGUUGACUCCCUAUUGAGUUCAAUACAUUUAGUUCGAUUCCCUAUUGAGUUCAAUACAUUUAGUUCGAUUCCCUACUGAGUUCAAUACAUUUAGUUGACUCCCUAUUGAGUUCAAUACAUUUAGUUCGAUUCCCUAUUGAGUUCAAUACAUUUAGUUCGAUUCCCUACUGAGUUCAAUACAUUUAGUUGACUCCCUAUUGAGUUCAAUACAUUUAGUUGAUUCCCUACUGAGUUCAAUACAUUUAGUUCGAUUCCCUAUUGAGUUCAAUACAUUUAGUUCGAUUCCCUACUGAGUUCAAUACAUUUAGUUGACUCCCUAUUGAGUUCAAUACAUUUAGUUGAUUCCCUACUGAGUUCAAUACAUUUAGUUGAUUCCCUAUUGAGUUCAAUACAUUUAGUUCGAUUCCCUAUUGAGUUCAAUACAUUUAGUUGACUCCCUAUUGAGUUCAAUACAUUUAUUUGAU
rnacentral:lncRNA from 1 species